GUAGGUGGCAAGCGUUGUCCGGAAUUAUUGGGCGUAAAGCGCGCGCAGGCGGUUCUUUAAGUCUGAUGUGAAAGCCCACGGCUCAACCGUGGAGGGUCAUUGGAAACUGGAGAACUUGAGUACAGAAGAGGAAAGCGGAAUUCCACGUGUAGCGGUGAAAUGCGUGGAGAUGUGGAGGAACACCAGUGGCGAAGGCGGCUUUCUGGUCUGUAACUGACGCUGAGGCGCGAAAGCGUGGGGAGCAAACAGGGAUUAGAUACCCUGGUAGUCCACGCCGUAAACGAUGAGUGCUAAGUGUUAGGGGGGUUUCCGCCCCCUUAGUGCUGCAGCUAACGCAUUAAGCACUCCGCCUGGGGAUACGGCCGCAAGGCUG
rnacentral:rRNA from 1 species